AUUGAACGCUGGCGGCAGGCCUAACACAUGCAAGUCGAGCGGAGCGGCGGACGGGUGAGUAAUGGCUAGGAAUCUGCCUGGUAGUGGGGGAUAACGUCCGGAAACGGGAGCUAAUACCGCAUACUAUCGGAUGAGCCUAGGUCGGAUUGGCUAGUGGGUGGGGUAAAGUCCUACCAGGGCGACGAGCCGUAACUGGUCUGAGAGGAUGAUCAGCCAAACUGGAACGGAGACACGGUCCAGACUCCUACGGGAGGAAGCAGUGGGGAAUAUUGGACAAUGGGCGAAAGCCUGAUCCAGCCAUGCCGCGUGUGUGAAGAAGGUCUUCGGGUUGUAAAGCACUUUAAGUUGGGAGGCGUUACCAACAGAAUAAGCACCGGCUAACUUCGUGCCAGCAGCCGCGGUAAUUC
rnacentral:rRNA from 1 species